rnacentral:tRNA from 1 species
AUUUACAUAAUAUAAAAAUUAUAGUUGACUUCCAAUCAGAAAAUCUAGUUUCCCCCUAGUGUAAAUA